UACAGAGGGUGCAAGCGUUGUUCGGAAUUAUUGGGCGUAAAGGGCGCGUAGGCGGUGCGGUAAGUCUGUAGUGAAAUCUCUGGGCUCAACUCAGAGUCUGCUGCAGAAACUGCCGUGCUUGAGUGUGGGAGAGGUGAGUGGAAUUCCCGGUGUAGCGGUGAAAUGCGUAGAGAUCGGGAGGAACACCUGUGGCGAAGGCGGCCCCCUAGGCCGGCCCUGACACUGAGACGCGAAGGCGUGGGGAGCGAACGGG
rnacentral:rRNA from 1 species